CCCUACGGGGGGCAGCAGUGGGGAAUAUUGGGCAAUGGGCGAAAGCCUGACCCAGCAACGCCGCGUGAGGGAAGAAGGUUUUCGGAUUGUAAACCUCUGUCCUCAAGGAAGAAGCAAGUGACGGUACUUGAGGAGGAAGCCCCGGCUAACUACGUGCCAGCAGCCGCGGUAAUACGUAGGGGGCGAGCGUUGUCCGGAAUGAAUGGGCGUAAAGGGCGCGUAGGCGGCCGAUUAACUCUGGAGUGAAAGUCCUGCGUUCAAGGUGGGAAUUGCUUUGGAAACUGGUUGGCUUGAGUGCGGAAGAGGUAAGUGGAAUUCCCAGUGUAGCGGUGAAAUGCGUAGAGAUUGGGAGGAACACCAGUGGCGAAGGCGACUUACUGGGCCGUAACUGACGCUGAUGCGCGAAAGCGUGGGGAGCGAACAGGAUUAGAUACCCGAGUAGUCG
rnacentral:rRNA from 2 species